UGCCCUAGUAUUCAUCCUGACUUGCUGACUGCUCACCAAAGCACUGAGUGCUCUUAGCUGUCACUGUGCAAUUUCCUGGCUAAAGGAGAUCUGGAAUGUAGAAGUAUUCAUCACCAGAGGUUUUGCUGGAUUCCAGGCCUUCAAUGAAGCAAUCCUGAGUCUUUACUGUAAGCCACCUGAUACAGGAAUGAAGGACCAAGUGCCAUUUGGGAACCUCUCUGGUGUGAUGCUCUAACCAUGUAUGCAGAAUGAAACAACUGGAUGUAGCCAAAUAGAAAUGGUAUUGCAGAAACAGCUGGGAAAUGUAAGCAAAUCAGAGUUUGGGGUGGAUCCCUUGACAUAAGCUGGCGAAGGUUUAAGCUGUUUCUCCAGGAUGGUAAGAAAUGUGUUUCCAUGUUAAAUAAGCACUAAAUGUAACAUGCCACUUUCAUCCAUUUCAGAGCUGCUGCUGGUUUUCUUUGUGAUGGCUGUUGCACACCAUCUACCAUCAGGAUAGGCCGCAUCCCUGUUCCUUAGGAGGCUUCGUGAUUUAGAGUACGGUACAGGAGGAAGUUGCUCGUCAGGUCUCGACACAGGACAGAAAGGUAAUUGUGUUCAGUUUUAACUCCAGCUCUGAAGAGGGUUUCUUGAUAAGGCUGAUGGUGGCUGCCCGUGAAGCGAGGACACCGACACGCUGCCCUGUGCUGAUUAAACACCUUUGCCUCGCGUCCAGCUGACAGCCUACGUACAGACCCUGCUUCAGACAGCGUGUUCUGAGCAGGCAGCCUCACCGUGCACGUGAACGUCCAUGCCAUCAAAUCCCUCCUCUUUGUCACGAGCACUGAGCAGAAAACUCCUCUGUUAAGUAGGGUGACAAGUUUCCAGCGAGCCUGGGAUCGCGGGGAGAGCGAACACCGGUAUCCCCGCGGCACACACGCUCCCUCGCAUGACGGAGCUGGCACGGCGAUAGUACGGUGCGAUACGAACCGCAGGAAUUGAGUCAGCGCAGCGCUGCGUGGUGAUCUGCUCCCUGCCGGGCUGCCACGCUGCUGGGGUGACCGGGAACGAUUUAUUAUGGCCUGGGCCAACCCCGCUCUCCCUCCUUGCACCCCAUAAAGCCGCCGGGCCAGGGGCUGGGCACCCAGCUUUGUGCCAAGGCUGGAUUACAGCCCCAAAGAUUUUUUUCAGGGGUGAAGCUAUGCUGGGAACGUGUCCCCCUUCCCCCAGUAAAUAAGAAAUAAAUCAGGAAAAUAAAUAAUAAUAAAACAAAAAAAA